GGGUAGCCUCCGAAGGAGAAGACGUGGGAGUGGUCGGCAGUGACGAGGCUCAGCGUGUCCUCCUCGCUGGUGAGCUGGCCCGCCCUCUCAAUGGCGUCGUCGAACAUGAUCGUCUCAGUCAGUGCCCGCCCCAGCCCUUGGCCCGGGGGUCGCACGUCAAUGUCCAUGUUGGAGAUGAGCUGCGUGGCGAUGUCCUGGCACCCCUCCUGGCGGGCCGAGGCAGGCACGUCGGCGUCCGAGUACCAGUUGCGGUUCACCGUGUGGGCGUAGGCGCCGGCUGGCGAGGCAUGCUGCACCCGUGUGGUGGUUACCACUCCCACUGACUUUCCUGAGGGUGAUAGAGGUCAGGAUAUGCGAUGGAGGUCUGUCACCUGGCCCUGACCCCACAGCGGGCCCCAGCUCACCUGCUUUCUUGGCCCGAUUCAUCACGGAGAUGACCUCGUUGCCGCGUGUCGUGUUGCACUGGUUAAAGCGGGCGGCUGCACUCAAGCCAAUGGUCUGGAAGUUGCCCUUGACCCCGCACAGGAUCCUGGCAGCUGUCACCGUAGACACCCCCAUCCCUGAAGGAGCAGAAGUGUGUGAGGCUUGCUCCCCAGGGCUGUCCUGGAACCACUGAGGGUCCGGGCGCCGGGGCUGUGAGGGCUGCGGGGCUGGAAGGCCUGGCUCACUCACCGUCACCCAGGAAGAUGA